UCCACUCAUCCACCCAUUCAUCCAUCUAUCCACUCACGCACCCAUCCAUCCACCACUCACCCACCCACCCAUCCACUCACUCACCCAUUCAUUUGACAAACGUGAGGCCCACGACCCUGGGCUCACUCACAUCCAUCAAAGGCCCAAUUAGCUGCUCCUUUGCACCCCGUGAGAGAGAACAAGGGGUGAUCUCUAAACGCAGUGUGUUUGGGAGACAGAAUCCUCCUGGCGCUGGCUCUGCGGGUGGGCGGGGAAGUGACAGAGGAGCUCUGGGGCCACGGGGGUGUCAUGUGGACCCUGAGGGUCAGGUUUACCCAGACAUGAGGGGCCAGGAAUGGAGACGGAGCUGCAGCAGAGAAGUGCCAGGACGGGCUGCCUGGGGUUUCCCUCUGACGUCUCCCCGAGUCCCAGCCACAGCUCCACGGCCUCUGUUUCCAGGAGCUGCAUCCUACCCUCGCCCAGACAACAGUGCCAGGGAGGCCUCCACUGGGGGAGGCCACCGCUGCCCAGGCCUCAAUGUCACACUGUCCCUGCAGUGAGACAGGGCGACAGAAGGCCUGAAGUAGGAGAGGGGAGGCUACAGACACAGGCCGGGGGAGUGGCCCUGAACCCCCAUGCUCUGUGGCCCCCUUGCCCUUUCUGGGCCUCAGACGUGCUAAGGGCAUUGACCCCCCACCCCCUGCCCAGCUCUGACAUUCUGGGAUCUCUGAACCAGACUUGGUGCACCUGGAGGCUCUGGUGAGGCAGGUCUGAAGGCAGUGGGUCAAGGCAGCACCUCCGGCCCGGGGUGGCUGGUGUCGCCAAGUGGGUUGGGAGCACGGUUCUGGAGAAACCCCAGCCGUGGGUGGGUUUGGGGCCAAGUCCCGCUGAUGCCCUGUCCUGGACACGUCAACUCUCACCCCUCCUGCUUGGCCCUCUGCCACCACGUUGUCUGGCUCAUUCCUCUCUUUGGAGCAGUCCUGCCCCCUCCUCGCUGGCCUCCUGGCCUCCACUCGUAUGCCCUUCACCGAUCCAUUCCCCACCGCUGCAGGGCCUGGCCCUUCCUCACCCUCUGUGGCUCCCCGUUGCCCUCAGCACAAAGUCCAUGGCGUCUUCAGGGCCCACGAGGCCUCACACCAGGUGGACCCUGUCCAUUUGCCUUCUCUCAUCCCUCUUACUCAGCUUGCCAGCCAGGCCCACGUCCUCCUCGGCCUCUCUGCCGCUCGCCUGCCUCCGGGGGCCUCUCCUCUCUCCCUCACUAACUCUGGCACCUCCUUUAGGUUUUAUGAAGGUGUUCCUCUGGGAAGCCCCCCUUGACCCCACGUUCCCACUCAGGUGUGCUUUAGGGCCCGUCCCCGUGCUUGGCACUCCCCUACCUCCUCCAGGAGGCUCCGAAGCCCACGGCUGCCUCUGGCCGCCCCGUCCCUAGCACUUGGGGUGCACACAGCAGAGAAUCGCAACUGCUUGGAUGGUGGGUGGGUGGCUGGGUGGGUGCGAGAGUAGAUGGGGGGCCGUGUGAUCUGUGAGGGGAACCCAUAGGCACCAGAAAGUGGGGUUCUGAACCCUGGGCAAGCCUGCCCCUCAAUGGGCCUCAAUUUCUCUGUCUGUAAAAUGGUCCACCCUGCCGGAGCAAAGGUGGAGGCCCAGAGGCAGUAGAAUAGGUGCCCCCAGGAAGUGCGCGGGACAGAACAAGUUUUCCCCAGGGCCCUGCGGCCCUCCAAGACGCUUCUUCCCCAAGGGCAUGCAGAUGCCCACUGCUCUUGCUUGCAUCCAGGACCUAUGCCCUAAGGAACAGACUUGGAGCCAGAUGGGCUGAGUUCGAAUCCAGGUGUUGGUGCGAAUCAGAGAUUCCCUUUGCCUCCAGGCCUUAACCGUGCUGUCUGUGAAAUGGGGGUGCUCAUGUGAUCCUUGGCAAUUUCUCUGGGGAUUAGGAUGGGGCAGGAAAGAAGGCCCAGCACAAGGAGGGCACGCAGGAAACAGGGGACUUGAAAUCCCAGUGCCCGAGGGAGUUCCCUCUGCCCCGGUGCCUGCCACAAGGGUCACAUCCAGCCACAGCCACGCACCCCUCCUGGAGUGUCCUAGACGGGCCAGAGCUGCCUCUGGGAACUGAGUUUGAAGUUGGCCAGUCUUCAUGGUAAUAAUAUGAGGCCUCCCAUCAUUUACCUGUCACCACACUUCUGCCCCUCAUAAGCUGUGUGACUUUGGACAAGCACCUAACCUCUCUGUACCUCUGCUGCCUCGUCUGUAAGAGAAGUUGAAGUUCAUAGACUGCUUCUUAGAACACGGCUGGGCACUGAGAAUGAGCUGUGAGGGCGAUGAUGACAGAGCACUUUUAUAUCCAUCUUCUCAUUGGCUGUUUGCUCAACCCCGUGAGCUGGGCACUUAUCACUGGCCCUGUUAUGGGUGAGGACGUGGCGGCCCAGAGAGGUGGGAUGACACACCAGAGGUCACGCAGCGAGGCAGCAGCAACCUCGGUACUUGAUGUUCUUUCCAAAGACAGGAGGUUCUGGUCUGAGCAGGGCAGCCCAGAGCAGGAUGGACACAGGGGCCUUUCUGAGGCCUCCUUCCACGGGCCUGGGGCUGUGGGGGCCUCCAGACAGCUGGCCAAGUCUGCUCCGCCCAGCGUGCCGGCCACUGCCCGCCGGGCCCCUGUGCCAGGACGGCGUGUCCGCCCACCUGGGCAGGCACGAGAUGCUGGAGGCCAGUGCCGGGCCCCUGUCACUCCCAGGAGCUCCGCCCUCCCGGCCCCGCUUCCGCAGCCAGCUCUGGGACCGGUCGGGGAUUUUCCUGAACUUUCCCUCUGUUAGAAAAAACUAUAAAUAUUUACCUUUUAGAAA